GUCAAAGAAUUCUCCUUUCCUCCAAGAUUAGGAGACUCGUGAAUAAUAAUAAUCGUAACAGUAAAAGUAACAUCUAUUCACAUUUUUACUUCUGUUUGCUGGGGAACUGCCAUUAUUGCAUUUAGUUUCCAUGACACCCUAUAUACUAAAGUACUAAAUAUACUAAUAUAUAUUUUACAGAUGGGAACCCGAUCGCCGUCAAGAUUAAGUGACUUAUCCAUGAAGAUAGACUAGUAGGAGAAAGAGCCAUUACUCAAAGCCUGGUGUUGACUGCACAUCAGGAGCCAAUACGCGGAGAAUCUGAGGGACCUUUCUGACAACGGCUGUUACCAGCGUGGGCCUGGGAAUGGGUUCACAUACAAUAGCUCAGGACAGACCAUGAGAAAGCAGGACUCACUCAAGACCUGUGGCUCAAGACAUCGUCUCCAAUGAGAACAGAACCUUGCCCAAAUAAGAUCACAUGUGGAACAAUGUUGACAAACAGUUCCCAUAGGCCGACUUUCCUGAAGCCGGUGGUGUCAGGUUUCGGCAGUGGUGCCUUUGCAACAUUGCAGUAAGAGCAGCAAGGGUCUGCAGCAGCAACAGGAACCAGUUCUGAGCUGUGAAUGCAGUGGGGUUUCCCCUGCAGCUUCCACCCAUCCUGCCUUGGACAUGCAGGCUCAGAAGUUACGGGGCAAAGAGCACUUCUUACUGCACAUGUCACACUGCGAAAUCAGACUCUGGAGCUGAGUGAUGCUGCCCCGUGGGAGAGCCAGCUUCUCCAGGUCCCACCACCGGCACCCCACACUGAAGUCCCACCCAGAGGCCUCUCAGUCUGGCUCAGUGCUUGAGCUGCCCUCUGCGAGACACCCACAGCGCACCCCAGCUGAACAACUACAAUUAAAAUUGCCAGGUCGUCUCCUUCUGUCACAAAAUAAAAUGUGUUUUCAUGAGUUUUGCAUCACAAAAUCCCCCCUUCUUGCAUUUUUAAGGUGAAAUUGUAAUUACAUUCUAACACAGUACAGACUUUUUCAUUAACAAAUUCACUUGGUUUUUCACGUGGGGUUGUAUGUGGUCUCUCAGAUAUCUUGGUAGUCUGAACGUCACAUUCUUAACACCAGGACCUUCACCAGGAGGGGUAACUAGAGCGUCACAGCCAGAGCAGAUGUCCCAGGGACCAUUAAAUCAUGGGGUGUGACCCAGAGCUUCCUGCACAGAACCACCAAAUGGCAAGGGAGACUGAUGGAAGCCAGAACCAAGAUCAAAGCCAAAAUCAGAGACCGUGGAGCCAUUAUUAGAGGUGGAGUGGCUUCGAGGAGAGAGGAACUGGGAAGAGGUGGCCAUUAGCAUCAAAGACACCAAGGGACCAGCACCCAAUGCAGCUGAAGGCAGGAUGGCUGGGGGCUGAGUGUGAGCACCCAACUGCACUGUCUACCUGCCCAUCUUGCCUGGACACCGAAUUACCCUGACUUCGCUUCCUCAAGGCCCUGUGGGUGAAGAAGGGGCCGGGGAAGGAAGGAAAAGAUGGUUUUUCUAAUAGUGAGCCCACAGAGACAAGCAAAGACACGAACCCAAACUGGCUGGUUAUUUAUUCAUGAAGUCAUUCAUUUAUAGUUUUCUGUAUCUAAAUUCCAGCUAAAAUCUCAUGGUUAAUAAUCAUACAAUCAUGCAAAAGCCCUCGCUGAAAUGGGAUGGUCUUUACUUGAGAAGAUAUAAUAUACAUAUUUUCAAGCGAGAUUGUUUUUCUCCUUUGUUGGGUUCCUUUCCACAGGUUGCAGAGGACUUUCCACGAAGCAUGGCAUAGCAACGUGUCUGGCCCGUCAUGAUUGCUGUACCGGAGCACGACCUGCUCUGGGGCCAUCUUUGGCCUGUAGGCGGAGAGCACUGUUGCGUAGCUGGUUUGAUGGAUGAACUCCUGGGAAGAUUUACUCUGCCUUAUAAUGUUGCCCAUCACUGAUGCCUCAAAAUCCACACCGGGAAAUAUUCAGUCCAGCAAACAGCUAGUAAACAGCAUGUCCUGAAACCAGGGAGGAACACAUUACUUCUCUUUUCUCCUUAGCAGCUGCCAGGACUAGAAAGGCCUCUCACCGAUAGGAGAUAUGAGAGAGCUGUGACCUCCCGCUGCAAGGCUUUUGUCCCCUUCACACAUUACACUCCUGGCUUUGUUUUUGUUUUUUAAAGUAAGGCUUUAGUUUUUAGAGCAGUUUUAGGUUCACAGCAAAACUGAGGGGAAAGUACAGAGAUUUCCCAUUUUCCCCUCUGCCCCCAUAUACACACAGCCUCCCCCAUUAUCAACAUCCCCCAUCAGAGUGGGACAUUUGUUAAAGGAAUCUAUAUUGACAUGUCGUUAUCACCCAGAGUCUGUAGUUGACAUUAUAGCUCGCUAUUGGUGUUAUACAUUCUGUGGGUUUGGACAAAUGUAUAAUGACAUGGAUCCACCAUUAUGGUAUAUAGAGUAGUUUCACUGCCCUAAAAAUCUUCUAUACUCCGCCUAUUCAUCCCUCCCUCCCCAACCCCUGGCAACUACUGAUCUUUUACUGUCUCCAUAGUUUUGCCUCUUCCAGAAUGUCCUGUAGUUGGAAUCAUGCAGGAUGGAGCCUUUUCAGAUUUGCUUCUUUCACUUCAUAUGCAUUUAAAGUUCCUCCCUGUCUUUUCAUGGCUUGAUGGCUCAUUUCUUUCUAAUGUUGAAUAAUAUCCCAUUGUCUGGGUGGACCGUAAUUGAUUUAUCCAUCCACCGACUGAAGGUCAUCUUGGUUGCUUCCAAGUUUUGACCAUUAUGAAUAAAGUAGUGCUUUUAAUGAGCA
rnacentral:lncRNA from 1 species